rnacentral:rRNA from 1 species
UACGUAGGGCGCAAGCGUUGUCCGGAAUUAUUGGGCGUAAAGAGCUCGUAGGCGGUCUGUCGCGUCCGUUGUGAAAACUCGAGGCUCAACCUCGGGCUUGCAGUGGAUACGGGCAGACUAGAGUGCGGUAGGGGAGACUGGAAUUCCUGGUGUAGCGGUGGAAUGCGCAGAUAUCAGGAGGAACACCGAUGGCGAAGGCAGGUCUCUGGGCCGUUACUGACGCUGAGGAGCGAAAGCGUGGGGAGCGAACAGG